AGAAGCACAGCAUCUGUGAAGCUUUCGGAAAUUAUCCCUCUGGCUCCAGCCCUUUCUAGAGAUCUCCACGCACAUCUCUGCAUGAAGGUUUCAGAGUCACUGGAUUUCCCAGGGCCUUCUCUUUGCUAGGAAUGUCUGAGACGCGCUCUGCAAGAUGAGUUGGCAGCAUCUCUGUGCCUCUGGUUUUGCCAGGCUCCACCAACAUCCCGCUAAGAACUCUUCACCCUCAAGUGCACUGAGGGGAACCCCAGUGAAGGCCAAUGAGGGAAACCACACAUCACUGAGGGCCGACGGAGGCCCCCAAAGCUCAGAUCGCUGUGCUCGCCAGUAGGUCCCCAGACACCCUUAACACAGCUAUCUGCAGGAUUGAAUGAUUGCUGGGACCACACAAUUUACACUUGGCUCUCGUGGUCCGGAGGGGAGGACUGCGCCAGCAUGAGAAGACCAGAGAGCAAGUAAAUGGAAAUUUGGCGAGAUCCUGUGGCUGCUGUUGGUGGCUGCAGCCAGACAGGAAAACUGAGAUGGUGUGAGCAGAAAGGGCUGGAAGGAGUUGGCUUUUUCCAAGAAAUUACAGCGGAAUCUUCUUCCAAGAGGCUGGGGGCCUCUGCAGACAUGAUCUCAUUACUUACCCCCCAAAUCCCCCAGCUUCCCUACGGACCAAGGACCAGGGGUCUCUGCCCAGUCCUAGCUCCAAGGAAACUCACACUUGGCAGAUUUUCCUAAUCGGAGCUGGCCUUGAAGUUUGCUCACUGAUAAUCACCAGAAAGUCACCCCAACAAUGGGUGAUGCCAGAGUGUCCUCAAGCUUCAAGGGUCCGUAAAAACACUUGACUCCCCCAGGACAAAAAUGACUGGGGGAAACAUGCAGUUCUUCAAAGAGAACGGUUUCAUUCUGUACCAAA
rnacentral:lncRNA from 1 species